AACGAUGUAGCUCAACCGGGAAGAGUGCAGGCCUUCGGUCCUGAGACGCCUGUUCAAAUCGGACCAUCGUUA
rnacentral:tRNA from 1 species